AGAGUUUGAUCAUGGCUCAGGAUGAACGCUAGCUACAGGCUUAACACAUGCAAGUCGAGGGGAAACGACAUCGAAAGCUUGCUUUUGAUGGGCGUCGACCGGCGCACGGGUGAGUAACGCGUAUCCAACCUGCCCAUCACUUGGGGAUAACCUUGCGAAAGUAAGACUAAUACCCAAUGACGUCUCUAGAAGACAUUUGAAAGAGAUUAAAGAUUUAUCGGUGAUGGAUGGGGAUGCGUCUGAUUAGCUUGUUGGCGGGGUAACGCCACAAGGCACGAUCAGUAGGGGUUCUGGAGAGGAAGGUCCCCCACAUUGGAACUGAGACACGGUCCAAACUCCUACGGGAGGCA
rnacentral:rRNA from 1 species